UACGUAGGGUGCGAGCGUUGUCCGGAAUUAUUGGGCGUAAAGGGCUCGUAGGCGGUUUGUCGCGUCGGGAGUGAAAACCAGGUGCUUAACACCUGGCUUGCUUUCGAUACGGGCAGACUAGAGGUAUUCAGGGGAGAACGGAAUUCCUGGUGUAGCGGUGAAAUGCGCAGAUAUCAGGAGGAACACCGGUGGCGAAGGCGGUUCUCUGGGAAUGACCUGACGCUGAGGAGCGAAAGUGUGGGGAGCGAACGGG
rnacentral:rRNA from 1 species